AAUUCUUAUGCUACCGACAUGGAACACCUUGGCUACUUCAGGAAGCUAAGCAGGGUCAGGUGUGGUUAAUAUUUGGAUGGGAGACCACGAGGCCAUAGUAGGAAUUU
rnacentral:rRNA from 1 species